UACGUAGGGCGCAAGCGUUGUCCGGAAUUAUUGGGCGUAAAGGGCUCGUAGGCGGUUUGUCGCGUCGGGAGUGAAAACCAGGUGCUUAACACCUGGCUUGCUUUCGAUACGGGCAGACUAGAGGUAUUCAGGGGAGAACGGAAUUCCUGGUGUAGCGGUGAAAUGCGCAGAUAUCAGGAGGAACACCGGUGGCGAAGGCGGUUCUCUGGGAAUGACCUGACGCUGAGGAGCGAAAGUGUGGGGAGCGAACAGG
rnacentral:rRNA from 1 species